CAUAGGGAUGUAUUUGCUUGGUGCAAAAUUAAUUACGGUUUUUGCCAUUACUUCAAUAGCAAAAACUACAAUUACUUUGUACCAUCCUAAUAGUU
rnacentral:miRNA from 1 species